rnacentral:rRNA from 1 species
UACACACCGCCCGUCACACCACGGGAGUCGAUUGGUCCCGAAGUGCGUGAGCUAACCCUUGUGGGAGGCAGCGUCCUAAGGAAUGGUCGGUGACUGGGGUGAAGUCGUAACAAGGGUACCC